UGGUCAAGUUAUUAAGGGUGCAGGGCGGAUGCCUUGGCACUAGGAGCCGAUGAAGGACGUGAUAAGCUGCGAUAAGCUUCGGGGAGUUGCACGUAAACUUUGAUCCGAAGAUUUCCGAAUGAGGAAACUCACUUAGAGUAAUGUUUAAGUAUCAUUAAGUGAAUACAUAGCUUAAUGAGGGGAACUCAGGGAACUGAAACAUCUAAGUACCUGAAGGAAGAGAAAGAAAUUCGAUUCCGUAAGUAGCGGCGAGCGAACGCGGAUUAGCCCAAACCAAUAAAGUUUUCUUUAUUGGGGUUGAGGACAUACCACAUAUAAGAGGUCAUUAUAGACGAAGAAGUUUGGAAAAACUCAUCAUAGAAGGUAAUAAUCCUGUAGUCAAAAUAAUAAUUCUUUAGGUAUGAUCCAGAGUACCACGGGACACGUGAAACCCUGUGGGAAGCAGGAGGGACCACCCUCCAAGGCUAAAUACUACCUAGUGACCGAUAGCGUAUAGUACCGUGAGGGAAAGGUGAAAAGAA
rnacentral:rRNA from 1 species